UACGUAGGUGGCGAGCGUUGUCCGGAAUCACUGGGCGUAAAGGGCGCGUAGGCGGCAAUACAAGUCGCAUGUGAAAAACCAGGGCUCAACCCUGGGGGGUCAUGCGAAACUGUAUGGCUUGAGUGCAGUAGAGGUAAGCGGAAUUCCUGGUGUAGCGGUAAAAUGCGUAGAGAUCAGGAGGAACACCGGUGGCGAAGGCGGCUUACUGGGCUGCAACUGACGCUGAGGCGCGAAAGCGUGGGGAGCAAACAGG
rnacentral:rRNA from 1 species